AGGGCACCACCAGGAGUGGAGCCUGCGGCUUAAUUUGACUCAACACGGGAAAACUCACCCGGCCCGGACACUGGAAGGAUUGACAGAUUGAGAGCUCUUUCUUGAUUCAGUGGGUGGUGGUGCAUGGCCGUUCUUAGUUGGUGGAGUGAUUUGUCUGGUUAAUUCCUAUAACGAACGAGACUCUAGCCUACUAAAUAGGUUGUCGGCUUACAUACUCCGACAAGACUUCUUAGAGGGACAAGGGACAGGCGGUCAUUCCGAAACACAAAAAUAACCAGUAACAGGUCUGUGAUGCCCUUAGGGGCCGGGGCCGCACGCACGCUACACUGAAGUGAUCAGCGUGCCUUUCUAGCGUACUCUGUCAAGAGUGCGGAACCCAAUGAACCUUCUUCGUGAUUGGGAUAGGGGAUUGUAAUUGUUCCCCUUGAACGAGGAAUUCCCAGUAAGCGCGAGUCAUAAGCUCGCGUUGAUUACGUCCCUGCCCUUUGUACACACCGCCCGUCGCUACUACCGAUUGAA
rnacentral:rRNA from 1 species